UUCACCUAAAGAACGAAAAAGAUAACAUUUCCUAAAACUUAAGCUGAAGAACUCAAUUUGCAAGAACUGAAGAAGAGGAUCGAAGAACGGAAGAAAUCGAUUUGUACUAUGAUUUUCAUCACAUUUCUGUCAAACUUCAGCUGAAGAACAUCAUUUUCAGCUGAAGAAUCGAAGAGCAGUGCGAUUUCUUUGAAGAUGAACUGAAGAAGACGAUUUUCCUCUCAGAGCUUCGUUGUUGAAGAUUGGAGAGCUGAAGAACACGAUUUUCUUCAAAGAUUCCUCAGUAAACUGCCGUUCCAACAGAUUUCCUAUUGAAAAUUGAAAGAAAAUGCUUCACAAAUCAACUUGCCUCAUGUCUUAAAGCUUUAGGGUUGUUGGAAUAGAGUUUAUCAGCUGAAGCUAAGUCACUUUUAUCUGAAGAACUGAGCUGAAGCUAAGUCGUCUCUCUUCGAAGAACUGAAGUGUAAAAUCUGGCGAUACCUUCGACAUUUUGUCCCUUAUAUAGAUUUUGUCAAGUGUCAGGGUUUCUGUUGUGCUCACUAAUGUUACUUAUAUAUUAAAUUUGGACUAUGAUCACUAUUAACAACAACAAAGCUAGUAGGGAAGUUAUGUGUUUCAUGAUAGAUCCAACGCUUGGGAAGACAGUUAGGUAUGUUCAGUUCCCUCAGAGAUUGGAUGGCAUUGAUAGGAAUGAUCCGUAUGCUAAUAGGAAUACUGUUUCUUUGAUGGAAGGGGAUGGCAUACUCUGUCGGUGCAAGUGCAAAUUAUACACCGCAUGUGAUCGCUGUUAAUGCUGGUGAGGUAAGCCUUAUGUAUUAAUAAACUUCAAAUGCUCAUACUCCAUUAUGUCUGCUUUAUGACCUGAAGAAUGAAAGUAUGGUGUUUGUCAAAGUUAGAGUUAAGGUGAGACUUAUUUUAUAUGCUCCUUCCAUAAGUUAUGACUAAUUGUAAAAUUUUUAGAGAAGGGAUACUAGAGAAGUUAAUUUGAUGCUUAUGGACUGCUAAACAAAAUUUUCUUUUGACCUUGUCAUCCAGC